AUUGAACGCUGGCGGCAUGCCUUACACAUGCAAGUCGAACGGCAGCGGACCUUCGGGUGCCGGCGAGUGGCGAACGGGUGAGUAAUGUAUCGGAACGUACCUUUCAGUGGGGGAUAACGUAGCGAAAGUUACGCUAAUACCGCAUAUUCUGUGAGCAGGAAAGCAGGGGAUCGCAAGACCUUGCGCUGAUUGAGCGGCCGAUAUCAGAUUAGCUAGUUGGUGAGGUAAAGGCUCACCAAGGCGACGAUCUGUAGCGGGUCUGAGAGGAUGAUACGCCACACUGGAACUGAGACACGGUCCAGACUCCUACGGGAGGCAGCAGUGGGGAAUUUUGGACAAUGGGGGCAACCCUGAUCCAGCCAUACCGCGUGAGUGAAGAAGGCCUUCGGGUUGUAAAGCUCUUUCGGCCGGGAAGAAAUCGUAUGGGUUAAUACCCUGUGCGGAUGACGGUACCGGCAUAAGAAGCACCGGCUAACUACGUGCCAGCCGCCGCGGUAAAAC
rnacentral:rRNA from 1 species